AUGAUAAAAACCCUUAUUAGUAAAGAGAAUGGAGAACAUGUGGAGGAGGUUGCAAGUAGUUAUUUCAACGAGCUUGUCAACAGGAGCCUUAUUCAACCUGUAAGAUUUGACAACUGUGGAUUGGUGACACAUUGCAAAGUUCAUGAUAUGAUGCGUGAUCUUAUCUUGUAUAAAUGUGCAGAAGAGAAUUUUCUCACCAUAGUGGAUGACCCUCAAGCCAUCACAAAACUGGAUAACAAGGUUCGUCGACUGUCUCUCCACCUGCAUGACGAUUGUGAAACUGAUCGAACAAAGUUAUGGGGUAACAUUAGUCUGUCCCAAGUUCGGACUUUUAUGACCUUUACUUAUUGUGAGGAUAUGCCUCCUCUGUCACUGUUCAAAUUCCUUCGAGUUCUGCAUAUUGAACAUUAUGGAGUUAAUAGAGUUGACUUGACUGGACUGCCUAACAUGCACCAGCUGAGAUAUUUAGCGGUUCAUGAUGGUUGGGAUGUCGAGCUACCAACACAGAUCACAGGGCUACGACACUUGGAAACAUUUGAUGUAUAUGAAAAUGUCCGUCAUCCAUUCGACAUAGUUCAUCUACCAUGCCUGAUGUUCUUGAAUGUGAGUUGGUAUGCCGCUCGAACACCUUAUGGCAUUGGUAACAUGAAGUCCCUGCGAUAUGUAGAAGAUUUCAAUUUGAUGGACAACUCAAUAGAUAACAUCGAGAGUCUUGGAGAGCUAGCCAGUCUGAGAGUUAUAUCAGUAUACGGCUACCGGCCUUAUGCGGCCAGCAUGAAUAGACGCAUGGAUGCUCUGUGCUCUUCUUUGGGGAAAGUCGGUAUCAGCUUGGAGUACCUGGGUUUGUAUAUCGAAGGCUGCGUGGAUGCCUUGAUGGACUUGUCACCUCCUCCUCGCCGCCUUGAGAGACUCUGGAUGGGUGAUAGGAUAAAAGAUUACAUUGAUGGGGAACUUGAUCCUCCCGAUUGGCCGGCAGAACUGGGCAGCUCCUUUUUCUCGGGCCAUGGUUGGAAUGCAGAUGCGGAUGAGUGCUGCUUCUUUUCCAGGGUCCCUAAUUGGAUGGGGGAACUCAGUAACCUCAAAGAACUGGAAAUCAAUGUCAUCAAGCCUGAUGUUGGCAUUCUGGCAGAAUUGCCUGCCCUCACUUUGCUCAGAAUAUACAUCAUCCAAGGAUUAAGAGAAUUCUUUGUCAUCCACGCGAGAGAAUUCCCUGUUCUAAAACAUUUAGAACUCCGGUUGAGCAGCCCGUCGUACCUGGCCUUCCAGGCUGGUGCAAUGCCCAAGCUCCAGUGGCUCAGGCUGCAGUUCAGCAGUGUAGGGUGUCACCAGAACGCGCGUGGACCAGCCGGCAUGCAGCACUUGUCAGCGCUUGAAGAUUUUUUCGCAAUAAGUAACAGCGACUACCGUGCUACGGAGUAUGAAAAGACAUGUGCCGAGUCUGCCUUGAAGGGUGCUAUCAAGUUGCAUCCCAAGCAUCCUCGCCUUCACAUCAACAGUUCGUAUGAUCAUUAUUUUAAGUAG
rnacentral:rRNA from 1 species